CCUGAAAUCCUCUGUCAAGGAAAAACUCUGUUUCCUCCAUGCAGCAACCAUGCCACCUCAAGACUGAACCUCUAAAAAUCAACUCACAUGCCAAAUCAAAACACGAAGCGAA